AUAACGUGGUUCACCUACCGCCUACAGCCAUUGAUGCAAAUUUAAAGCCAUAUGGGCUUGCAAUCUAUCAGCCACGUGGUCUCACGAAAGACAACUGACAGCAUCGAUGGUGUGCUACGUAAACGACUCAUUCUCAUCAGUCGAAGAAUAAAUAUAGAGAACUGCAUUUCCACCGCCAUCCACUAUACUCAAGGCCAUCCACCAUGUAGCAAACAAAAUAAUUGGUUUAUUUGUUUGCUGUUGUUGUUUUUUGGAGGCCUGCAGCUUAUCAGUAAGGGGAGAGCUCAAGAAUGGAGGAAAUAGUUUGUUAAUUGAUGCUUCUAAGGGUGAUGAUGCAUUGAAGGCUUCAAAACACACAAAAAGGUCUAAGAACCAGAAUGGAAAUCAGCCGAUUAGAUCGAGACAACCAACAAUUAAUGGCCAUAGGGUCAGGGAUGCGGAUGCCACAGUUCCUGCCAGAAGAGAUUCCUCCUGUCAGGCUGCCACUAAUAUUGUAAAUGAGGCAAAGGAUCUUUAACACUCGGCUGAUCGCCUUAAGAAUUCUGGAUUAAGUGCUGAAAGUACAGGUCUUCACUUCCAGGCAGCCCUUAAGUUUCUUCAUGGAGCCUCUUUAUUGGAAUCUAGCAAUGGCGAGAGUGCCAAGCAAGGCGAGAUGAUUCGGUCAAUGCAAAUGUGUAGUAGCACAGCAAAACUCUGUGAGUUUUGUGCUCAUGAAUAUGAGAAAUCCAAGGACGUUGCUGCUGCUGCUCUGGCCUACAAAUGCAUGGAGGUGGCAUAUGUGAGAGUAAUUUAUUACUCGCAUACCAAUGCAAGCAGACAUCGGCAUGACUUGCAGACAGCUUUGCAAAUAGUUCCUCCUGGUGAAUCUCCCUCUUCCUCUGCCUCCGACGUUGAUAACUUAAACAACCCAACAACAUUAGACAAGGUUCCCUUAACCAAGGGUGUUAGCCCUCCUCAAGUUGCUGCAAACCAUGUUGUUGCUGCACGAAACCGCCCCAGUUUGGUGCGGCUGCUCAACUUUGUAAGUAUACGUAGAAAUUCAGUUUAACAUAUAUAUAUAUGCUUUUAGCUUCUUAAAAGGUGAAUAUCUGUUUAAUAUAUCUAUAAUAUAAUAUAAGAGACUCUUUCAUUUACGUAAACGUGCCAUGGCUUGCUUUUUGUUGUUUUUGCCCAUUUUGACCCUUUGUUUUCAUCAAAUGCCAACCUUACUUAGGAUUUCAAUGGAAUUUUAAUAAUAUGUUUCAUGUGCUUUUUUUAAUUAGGCCUGAUUUUUUCCAAUUGUUUUUUUCUUUAUUAGUUUACUGAAAUUAUCUUCUAUUUGUUUUAUGGAAUAAUAACGGUUGCUACAUGCGAUAUAUGUGCAAAUCAAAUAAGUAAAAAUAAAAUAAAAUAAAAUAUUUAUUAUAUAUUGUGUAUCAGUCAAGUGACAAAUGUCUUUUUUAGCAAAUUUAAGAUUUAAGGGACUCCUCUCAUUUAUCUUUUUUUUUUUUAUUAAAAAAGGGGAUUUUAUUUUUUAGGGUCCCUAGUAUUAAGAUUUUAUGGCAUAAAGGACAUUCAAUAUUUUCAUAAUAUCUAAGGUCCUUCAACAUCAGUCUAGAGAAAUUUCAACCCCAAAGAAAUUCUCUAGACUUCCCCGAGAAAUUCUGGAUCUCCCAAAGAAUUUCUCUGGAUUCAAACCAGAGAAAAUUGAAAUUCCUUUGAGUUCAAACUAGAGAAAAUUUCUUUGUCAUGUUGAUCUUCUUUGGCCAUCAUAUACUUGCAUGUCCAAAGAAAAUAAUAAACUACAAAUAAAAAUCUAGAGAAAAUUACAAACUUAUAAGCAUGUUAAACACAGAAAAAAAUCACAGAAAGUUGCUAACUAUUCCUCAAAAACACAGAGAAAAUCAUAUUUGAACACAAUUCCAAUUAAUUUCCCAAUCCAUACAUCUAAUCCAAAGAAAAUUAAAAAUCACAAAUAAAAAUUUAAACCACAAAGAAAUUUGAAUCACAGAUAAAGUUAUAGCUUUCACACACAAAGAGAACAAAAGAGAGAAUAUAUUAUUAAAGAGAGAUGAUAGAAAUUUCAACUAUCCAAAGAGAAAUUUCAACUUCACAAAAAAUUUCAACUACAGAGAAAUUUGAACCACAGAUAAAUUUAUAACUUUCACACACAGAGAACAAGAGAGAGAAUAGAUUAUUAAAGACAAAGGAGAGAAAUGUGGUUUAAAAGACUCUUCAAUUUGUUUUUCACUUUUGAGUUAGCAAAUUGUUUUACUUUGAUUUUGGACUUCGGCUUGAUCUACUCAAAUUGAAUCGGUGCCUCUUUGGAUUUCGUCGUGAUCUCGCCGGAAAAGUGUACGGUUCAUCAGAUUUUCAGAUUUCGAUCGUCUCGAGCAUUCACAGAGUUUGAAAUUCAAAGCAAAGAGUUGGUGCCUCCUUGGAUUUCGUCGUGAUCUCACUAAGAAAGUGCACUAUUGAUUAGAUUCUUAGAUUUCAAUCGUCUCCGACAUUCAUAGGGCUUGAAAUUUGAAGCAAAGAUGGUGAAUUCUAUGGUCGAACGAGCCACUAGUGAUAUGCUCAUCGAUCCAGAUUGGGCCAUGAACAUCGAGAUGAGAGAGAAAGAGAGAGAGGGAGAGAGAGAUGGAAAUGGGAGAGAGAGUUGGCUGGGUUAGCGGUGAGGGCCCUUAGCUAAUAAGAAAAUAUAUAUUGCAUCUCUUCUACUACUCAAAGUUUGGUAGGGAUCUUUCACUAAUUUUCCCUUUAAAAAAUGAGGGACACUUGGUAUGAGGAGAAUCAACCACAGGCUUGGACACCAAAUUUAACCUUCACUUAAUAAUAGUAUAGAAGAUAGAUAGAAAAUUGACACUUGGUGUUUAAUAACUUAAUUCAAUACUUAAAACUGAAUGCAUUAAGUGAAAAUGAAUUAAAUCUGUUUGAUAAUCACAAUGGGUAUCAUGUAAGAAAUAGCUGUUAAAAUAUAGACUAAAAGUUAACAAAAAUUUAAGUGAUAUGAUAUUUACUUAAUUCUAAUUGAAUUUAUAAAUGCAUUAAGUGAAAAUAAAUUAAAUCCGUUAGAUAAUCACAAUGGGCAGCACUUAAAAGUUUAAAUAGCUCUUAAAAUAUGGACUAAAGUUAACAAAAAUUUAAAUGGUAUGAUAUCUACUUAAUUCUGAUUGAAUUUAUAAAUAAUUGUGUACAGGCAUACAUGGUUAAAACAUCACUGCCGCCGCCAUCAUUGCCACCACUUCUACCACCGCCACUGUCACUACCAUCACCACUCUUACUGUCACUGCCACCACAACAACCUCCACCAUUGUUAUUAUUGUAUAAGUACUAUCAGCAUUUCACUACUACCACCACACCACCAUCACAGUCACCAUUGCAUUACCAUCAUCUGUCAACCACUAUUACAAUUACCCUUCACCUCCACAACUAUUGUCACCAUUAUUAUAACCACCACCAUCACUACACCAUUGUCGCCAUCUUUUUUACAUCCACUACAUUAUCCAUCCACCAUCACUAGAACCACUAUGUCUUUACCUUCAUCACCAUUGAUAUUAGGGGUGUCCGCGGUUCGGUUUGGGACGGUUUGCGGUUCGGUUUGGACCUGUCUGCAUCUAUGCGGUUUGGGAAAAAGUCAACCCGCAACCGCCUGCAAUGCUGUUUGCGGUUUGUGCGGAUAGGGUUCGCGGAUGUGCGGGCGGUUGCGGGCGGUUUGCGGAUUGAACUUUUUUUCAAAAAUUAUUUUUAAACCCUUUUUUUCCUCCCAUUUUGUUUUACUAUUACUUAGCUUCUUCAAAACCAAGAAGACAUGUAAAAAAUUCCAUGAAACAUUAUCUGCAUAUGGUGGCAAAUAUCACCAACAAAAAAAAAAACAAACAAACUAGAGAACAAGCAAGCAUGCUCAGAGUUCAAGACAAAUUUCUGAAAUGGUUCAAGGAUUUGAUAUCCAGAUUAGCAGUAACAACCAUGUUUAAAUCACAACUAAGAGAAUUAACACAAUAGCACACUAACGAAUGAUUCCUAGAGAAUACUAUUUUGUUGUUCAAUUACAAGGACCAGUGCAGUUAAAGCUGAGAAUACCCACAAGGCACUAAGAGCCUGUGUCACCAAAGUGCUCAUCCAAUCCAAUUGAUUCAAUACACAGAUUCAAAAUUCAAAAAUCAAAAAUCAAAAAUCAAUGCAGAUUCAAUUCACAGAUUAAAUCAAAUCCAAUACACAGAUUCAAUACACAGAUUCAAAAAUCAAAAAUCAAUGCAGAUUCAAUUCACAGAAUAAAUCAAAUCCAAUACACAGAUUCAAUUCAAAGAUCAAAAAUUAAAUCAAAAAAUUUAAUGCAGAUUCAAAAAUUAAAUCCAAUUUCAAUUUCAAUACACAGACAGAUUUAAAUCAAAAAAUCUGUUGCUACAAAAAAUAGAUUGGUUCAAUACACAGACACAUACAUUAAACAAAAAAAUAGAUCUUAUAUGUUGUAAUACACAAAAAAAAUCUGUUGCUUACAAAAAAACACAUACAAAAAAUCUGUUUCAAUACACAGACACAUACAUUAAACAGAUCUGUUGCUUACAAAAAAAAAAAAUUAACAGAUCUGAUAUGUUGCAAAAUAAAUCAAAGAUCGGGUGAGAGAGAGAGAGAGAGAGAGAGGCUUACUUGUGAGUCGAUCGGGGCGAGAGAAAGACAGACAGAGAUGAGACUGAUUUGAUGAGAUGAGAGAGUGAGGGAGACAGAUUAGAUCAGAGAGAUAGGGUUCAAGAUCUGAUGGGAUUAGAUCAUAUCUGAUAUAUAUAUAUAUA